UUCAUAGUCUUCAUACGAUUGCACUAGCUGUAGGCUGCAUGGCGAUGAUGAGGUCUUGAUUGUAGGAGUAAUAUAAAGGAUGAUCAGACACAUUAGCACUUUACAUGAGUUGGAAGAAGCUGCAGAUCUAAGAGCUGUUCUUGCAAACAGUAAACAAUAACCUAUUAAAAUACAUAAUAUCAGAUUCAGAGACAUAACGUAACACAUGACUCAGUGAAA